rnacentral:lncRNA from 1 species
CUCCUCUGUGAUUGGGAUACACACCAACAGGCUCUAUUUGCCUAUUUCAGAUGGGGCUCAAUAUAUACCUCAACCAUGUCAGCACCUCGCAUUCAACCCAACAUCUUCAAUAUGUCGGCAUCACACUUUAAUUUUCUCAAGCUAUUUUGUAAUGUCUGUCCUAGUAUUAGGUAAUAAAAAUAGAUAUAAUUUGGGUACCCUAACUGGCUCAUCAUGUCCUCUAUCUCUGUGAUACUAAAUCUGC